rnacentral:rRNA from 1 species
CUACGGGUUGCUGCAGUGAGGAAUAUUGCACAAUGGGGGGAACCCUGAUGCAGCAACGCCGCGUGGAGGAUGACGCAUUUCGGUGUGUAAACUCCUUUUAUAUGUCAAGAAAAUGACGGUAGCAUAUGAAUAAGCACCGGCUAACUCCGUGCCAGCAGCCGCGGUAAUACGGAGGGUGCAAGCGUUACUCGGAAUCACUGGGCGUAAAGGACGCGUAGGCGGGUUGGAAAGUCGGGUGUGAAAUCCUACAGCUUAACUGUAGAACUGCACUUGAAACUUCUAAUCUAGAGUAUGGGAGGGGGAGAUGGAAUUAGUGGUGUAGGGGUAAAAUCCGUAGACAUCACUAGGAAUACCUAAAGCGAAGGCGAUCUCCUGGAACAUUACUGACGCUAAGGCGUGAAAGCGUGGGGAGCAAACAGGAUUAGAUACCCCGGUAGUC